AUUGAACGCUGGCGGCAGGCCUAACACAUGCAAGUCGAGCGAAGCGACGGACGGGUGAGUAAUGCCUAGGAAUCUGACUGGUAGUGGGGGAUAACGUCCGGAAAGGGGCGCUAAUACCGCACACGAUCAGAUGAGCCUAGGUCGGAUUAGCUAGUUGGUGGGGUAAAGGCCUACCAAGGCGACGAUCCGUAACUGGUCUGAGAGGCUGAUCAGUCACAUUGGGACUGAGACACGGUCCAGACUCCUACGGGAGGCAGCAGGGGGGAAUAUUGGACAAUGGGCGAAAGCCUGAGCCAGCCAUGCCGCGUGUGUGAAGAAGGUUUUCGGAUCGUAAAGCACUUUAAGUUGGGAAGCGUUACCAACAGAAUAAGCACCGGCUAACUACAUGCCAGCAGCCGCGGUAAUUC
rnacentral:rRNA from 1 species